GUUAAACAGCUUAAAAACGAUUAGAUAAAGAAUCAAGUUUCACUUUUGCUCAGAGUUGUUACGAGAGCAAAAAUACCCGUUGAAAUCAUGGCGGAGAAAGACACUGCAUCAUCGAAAGCAUCCCUUCCUGGUUCACAACAGGAACCCUCUUCUGUGGUACACAGAACUAAUGUGGCAUCUGGAGAAAAUGCUGGCAUUAAAAUAAACCUAAUGAUUGAUUCAAUUUCUAAUGCAUCUGUUGAUGUCAUCGUUAACAGCAGCAAUGAAGAACUCCAGCUUGACAGUGGUGCUGUCUCCAAAUCUAUUCUCAAUGCUGCUUGUCUAGAGAUACAAGAUGAAUGUAACCAGAAAUAUCCUCGAGGUAUUUCUACGUCUGAAAUUGCCAUCACUAAAGGAUAUUGCCUCAAAUGUAAGAAUGUAUUUCAUCUGGCAUUACGUUCCUGGGAUAAAAAUUCCUCUGAUUCAAUUCUGGCAAACUUGACUCAAAUAAUGACCAUUUGUCUGGAAGAAGCUGAGAGAAUGGGUGCAAAAAGCCUGGCAUUUCCUAUAUUAGGGGCUGAAAUGAAAUACCCCAUUGAAAAACUACCCAGAACAAUGUAUGAAGCAGUGAAAAACUACUUGGAUCAAAAAUCAAGCCAGAUCAAAGAUGUUUACUUUGUGGUUUUACCUGAAGAAGACACAGAAAUAGUAAAGAAAUUUCGUGAAUAUCUCUUAAAAACUGAAGAAUUUCAUUCAAAAGACACUGCAUCACCAAACCCAUCCCUUCCUGGUCCACAACAGAAAGCAGCCCCUAUGACACCCAGAACUAAUGUGGCAUCCGGAGAAAAUGCUGGCAUUGAAAUAAACCUAAUGACUGAUUCAAUUUCUAAUGCAUCUGUUGAUGUCAUCAUUAACAGCACCAAUAAAAUCCUCCAGCUUAAUGAUGGUUCUAUCUCCAAAUUUAUUCUCAAUUCUGCUGGUCCACAGAUACAAGAUGAAUGUAACCAGAAAUAUCCUCAAGGUAUUUCUACAUCAGAAAUUGCCAUCACUAAAGGAUAUAACCUCAAAUGUAAGAAUGUAUUUCAUCUGGCAUUACCUCCCUGGGAUGAAAAUUCCUCUGAUUUAAUUCUGGCAAACUUGACUCAAAUAAUAACCACUUGUCUGGAAAAUGCUGAGAGAAUGGGAGCAAAGAGCCUUGCAUUUCCUAUAAUAGGAUCUGGAGUACUGAAGUACCCCAUUGAAAAACUACCUAGAACUAUGUAUGAAGCAGUGAAAAGCUACUCAAAUCUAAAUUCAAACCAGAUCAAAGUUGUAAACUUCGUUGUUUUUCCUCCAGACAAAGAAAUAGCAAAGAAAUUUAAUGAAUAUUUCCAAGAAAUUCUGGCAAAUGGUUCUGCUGCAUAAUCAGAUAACCAAAUAUGGCUGCCAUGCAGACGAUAACAGCAGCGACCAGUUCUCUUAUUCUUUCAGUCAUUCUUAUUGUCACACUGACAUCACUAAACAUCGAUGCGAAGGAACUCGACAAUGAUUGUGAAAUUCAAAUUUCUCCCAAUGUAUUGCAGUUCUUGCUAAGCCUGGUACUAUUGGUGAUAUAUGGUUUGCUGUAAUGUUUUUUGUCUAUGGUACUGCAGUUAUAAAAGCUAUUCA
rnacentral:misc_RNA from 1 species